rnacentral:sRNA from 1 species
UGGGUGUGGUGAAGCUGCUCCUGGAAGCCGGUGCCUUUGUGGACCAUCACCACCCUUCGGGCGAGCAACUGGGGUUGGGCGGCAGCAGGGAUGAGCCCUUGGACAUCACGGCCCUGAUGGCUGCCAUCCAGCAUGGGCACGAGGCCGUAGUGCGUCUACUGAUGGAGUGGGGUGCGGACCCCAACCGCGCAGCCCGGACCGUGGGCUGGAGCCCGCUGAUGCUGGCCGCACUCACUGGGCGGCUUGGAGUGGUCCAGCAGCUGGUGGAGAAGGGCGCUAACCCUGACCACCUCAGCGUGCUGGAGAAGACCGCCUUCGAGGUUGCACUGGACUGCAAGCACAGGGACCUUGUAGACUACCUGGACCCGCUGACCACCGUCAGGCCCAAAACAGAUGAGGAGAAAAGGCGACCUGAUAUUUUCCAUGCAUUGAAAAUGGGAAACUUCCAGCUGGUCAAAGAGAUUGCCGAUGAAGACCCCAGCCACGUGAACUUGGUCAAUGGGGACGGGGCGACGCCACUGAUGUUAGCAGCUGUUACGGGGCAGCUGGCUCUGGUGCAGCUACUGGUGGAGAGGCACGCGGAUGUUGACAAGCAGGACAGCGUGCAUGGCUGGACGGCCCUCAUGCAGGCAACCUACCAUGGGUC